rnacentral:lncRNA from 1 species
GGAAUGAUUAUGAUGAGAAGAGUAAUUCUUGGUUAUAUCGUUAACUUUAGUUUAUUGCUAAUGAAUAAUAAGGAAAGAAGUAAUAAGACUCACUUACAAUGUUAUUGUUUUGAUUAUUCUGAUUCAAGUGCAUCUAUUUGAAGUAAUAAAAUUGAGAAUGGAAAUGGGGAAUGUGUCAAAGAGAUAACAACCCGACCAUAGAAAAAACAACUGGUCUUCAAUGUAGCGUGAAAUUCCCGCACCCGGAGGCGUCCUUCAGCUGGCCCCUAAAAAAAUAUAUACUAGUUCAGUGAUAAUGAACACCAUACUAAUUUCCAAAUUGUACACAAGAAACUUAAAUUAAAAUAAUACAAGACUAACAAAGGCCAGAGGCUCCUGACUUGGGACAGGCGCAAAAAUGCGGCAAGCAUGAUUGAAUAUAUGUAAUUGCCUGUGUGAAGAGAUAAUAUUUGAAUAAGGGCAAUUUUAUAACUAUUUUAUUUGUUUUGUUUAGCAUUGUAUUUAUGUAUAAACCCAUACCUCAUGCUUCAUGAGAUAAUGUUUUCUUUUUCAAAUCCCUUGCAUCAACUUCCCAUUACCAAAUGAUUAGGGUUGGUGUCAUUAGUGUGCAGUAGCUCACAGUACAUAUUGAUUUAUAGGACUUAUAAAAC